GGGCCGUUAGCUCAGUUGGCUAGAGCGCACGGAUCACACCCGUGAGGUCACAGGUUCGAGUCCUGUACGGCCCA
rnacentral:tRNA from 1 species